rnacentral:rRNA from 1 species
AGCGAACGCUGGCGGCAGGCCUAACACAUGCAAGUCGAACGAACUCUUCGGAGUUAGUGGCGGACGGGUGAGUAACACGUGGGAACGUGCCUUUUGGUUCGGAAUAACUCAGUGAAACUUGUGCUAAUACCGAAUGUGCCCUUCGGGGGAAAGAUUUAUCGCCAUUAGAGCGGCCCGCGUCUGAUUAGCUAGUUGGUGAGGUAACGGCUCACCAAGGCGACGAUCAGUAGCUGGUCUGAGAGGAUGACCAGCCACACUGGGACUGAGACACGGCCCAGACUCCUACGGGAGGCAGCAGUGGGGAAUCUUGCGCAAUGGGCGAAAGACUGACGCAGCCAUGCCGCGUGAAUGAUGAAGGUCUUAGGAUUGUAAAAUUCUUUCACCGGGGACGAUAAUGACGGUACCCGGAGAAGAAGCCCCGGCUAACUUCGUG